rnacentral:rRNA from 1 species
AACGAACGCUGGCGGCAUGCCUAACACAUGCAAGUCGAACGAGACCUUCGGGACUAGUGGCGCACGGGUGCGUAAAGCGUGGGAACCUGCCCUUAGGUUCGGAAUAACUCCACGAAAGGGGUGCUAAUACCGGAUAAUGUCUUCGGACCAAAGAUUUAUCGCCUUUGGAUGGGCCCGCGUUGGAUUAGCUAGUUGGUAGGGUAAAAGCCUACCAAGGCGACGAUCCAUAGCUGGUCUGAGAGGAUGAGCAGCCACACUGGGACUGAGACACGGCCCAGACUCCUACGGGAGGCAGCAGUGGGGAAUAUUGGACAAUGGGCGAAAGCCUGAUCCAACAAUGCCGGGUGAGUGAUGAAGGCCUUAGAGUUGUAAAGCUCUUUUACCCGGGAUGAUAAUGACGGUACCGGGAGAAUAAGCUCCGGCUAACUCCGUG